GGUUCGGUGGUCUAGAGGUAUGAUUCUCGCUUCGGGUGUGAGAGGUCCCGGGUUCAACUCCCGGCCGAGCCC
rnacentral:tRNA from 1 species